rnacentral:rRNA from 1 species
GACGUAGGGCGCGAGCGUUGUCCGGAAUUAUUGGGCGUAAAGAGCUCGUAGGCGGUCUGUCGCGUCGGCUGUGAAAACCUGGGGCUUAACUCCGGGCCUGCAGCCGAUACGGGCAGACUAGAGUUCGGCAGGGGAGACUGGAAUUCCUGGUGUAGCGGUGAAAUGCGCAGAUAUCAGGAGGAACACCGGUGGCGAAGGCGGGUCUCUGGGCCGAUACUGACGCUGAGGAGCGAAAGCGUGGGGAGCAAACGGG